rnacentral:rRNA from 1 species
UACGUAGGGGGCAAGCGUUGUCCGGAAUUAUUGGGCGUAAAGAGCGCGUAGGCGGUCCGGUAAGUCGGUUGUGAAAGUCGGGGGCUCAACCCUCGGAUGCCGAUCGAUACUGUCGGGCUAGAGUCCGGAGGAGGCGAGUGGAAUUCCUGGUGUAGCGGUGAAAUGCGCAGAUAUCAGGAGGAACACCUAUUGCGAAGGCAGCUCGCUGGGACGUAACUGACGCUGAGACGCGAAAGCGUGGGGAGCAAACAGG